rnacentral:miRNA from 1 species
CCCCAGAUGUUGCUGAACUACAACUCCCAUCAUGGGAGUUGUAGUUCAGCAACAUCUGGGG